rnacentral:rRNA from 1 species
GAUGAACGCUGGCGGCGUGCCUAAUACAUGCAAGUCGAGCGAACAGAUAAGGAGCUUGCUCCUUUGACGUUAGCGGCGGACGGGUGAGUAACACGUGGAUAACCUACCUAUAAGACUGGGAUAACUUCGGGAAACCGGAGCUAAUACCGGAUAACAUAUUGAACCGCAUGGUUCAAUAGUGCAAGGCGGCUUUGCUGUCACUUAUAGAUGGAUCCGCGCCGUAUUAGCUAGUUGGUAAGGUAACGGCUUACCAAGGCAACGAUACGUAGCCGACCUGAGAGGGUGAUCGGCCACACUGGAACUGAGACACGGUCCAGACUCCUACGGGAGGCAGCAGUAGGGAAUCUUCCGCAAUGGGCGAAAGCCUGACGGAGCAACGCCGCGUGAGUGAUGAAGGUCUUCGGAUCGUAAAACUCUGUUAUCAGGGAAGAACAAAUGUGUAAGUAACUGUGCACAUCUUGACGGUACCUGAUCAGAAAGCCACGGCUAACUACGUG